rnacentral:misc_RNA from 1 species
CCGAGUAUCGGGUGCUCUCGCGCCCUGCUCCCACCCUGUGUUUACUCAUGACCGUUGCUUUGGCGGGCCGGUGGAUCGCCCACCGCCGGGCGGCGCCUGGAGAGCGCCCGCCAGAGGACCAAACAAAACUCCUGUCAACCCGUCGCAUCUGAGCACGCGAGAAUGACCA